UCAAGUCCAGAAAAAGGUUUUUCAUUUGGUCCAGUUACUCCAAGUAAGAAAAAUCAGUCAAACUUUCUUGCGUCGAAGUCACCUUCAGAUAACUCCAACACAGAAACAGCGUUUUCGUUUGGUGCUUCCAUGCCGGGCAAUACUGACGAUUUCCUAUCAUCCAGUUCACCUGGGAAUAUUUUCGGACAAAGUAAUCAAAGUAAUCAUGGCUCCUUCAACGGUGGAUUUUCUCUGUUUGGCGCAUCGCCAUCUUCUACCAGUGAAGGCGACAAAAACGAUUCAGAUGGAUUUACUUUCAAUUUUUGUGGGAUCGGUGUUGGGAGCUCCCCAUCCAAAGAGAACACAAAUUCUACUGGAUUCUUACUCUUUUAAAUAGUUGUCAUUGAUAAAAAUGAUUGUACUGAUUUAUUUUAAAGAUGUUUUUUAGGCUUUUCGCUCGUUCGUUCAUUCAGAUAAUUAAAGUUAUAGCGUACUGAAAAAUUUCUGCAUGCAAACACGUA